GUGAACGAUCCACUGGUGGACCUGUUGUUGCGCCAGCAGCAGUGCAGGGUAGCUAUGAUCGGACAGGAUAACCGCUGAAGGCAUCUAAGCGGGAAGCCCCCCUCAAAACAAGGUAUCCCUGAGGGCCGUGGAAGACCACCACGUCGAUAGGCCGGAGAUGUAAGCAUGGUAACAUGUUCAGUUGACCGGUACUAAUUGCCCGAUAGGCUUGAUUUGAUUCAG
rnacentral:rRNA from 1 species